UAAUUGAAUGACUCAAGAACUCAAUUAAAAUGUAAAUACGCAAUUUUUGGAAGUUAGUGUAUAGAAAUAAAUUGAAAUGCAAUCAUUAGGAUCUCGAAUCCCCAAUUGACUAUUAAAAACCCUAAUUUCACAAAUUCAAUGAAUCGAUGGAAAAAUGCCAAUUCAAUGUUCCUAAACCUAUCCAAUAUACUCUCUCGAUAUAUACUGAAUCUACUCUUGCACACCACCAGCCUAUAUUUCUAUGGAUGAUGCAAAUAUACAAGAAUGCAUGAGUUUUUAUGAACACC
rnacentral:lncRNA from 1 species